CAACCUUCAAGCUCAGCUUGGUGUUGGGUGUUUGUCCCGCCCCCCCGCGCGUGGACUCGCCUCAAAUUGAUUGGCAGCCGCAUCCCCCCGCCGCGAGCGCAGCACAGUCGCGCUUACGACGUGGGUGGGUCGGCGAUCCAGAAGCCUAUUUCAACG
rnacentral:misc_RNA from 1 species